CAUAUAUCCAGAUAGCCUCGAUCUGAGUGCAUAUUUUUGGCGAAUAGCGCUCAGAUCCCAUACUCAUAGUUCAAUCGCCAUGGAGUCAAAGUCUCUUACAGUAUUUCGGUAUGCGAUUGACUCCAUGGGAAGGCUAUCUGGGUUAAGUCCAUUCGUGCAUUUCAAACUGCCGAUGUUCGUGGGCUUCUGUCGAUUGAGAAGGGAGGUCGGUGGCUUCAGC